GCAGGAACCAAUUGUGUCUGUGAUGAACCACCUGUCCAACUCCACAAAUUAUUUCCCCAGCUAGUUCCUGGAGAAACGAGUGUCCCGUAGCUGGAAACAAAUUGUUCUGGCUGUUGGUGCUGUUGAUAAUGAGGUUGGUUGUACAAUUGGUGGUUAGUGCUGACAUCAUUAGUGAUCAAGCUUUUUGUGCCAGCUAUAUGUGGAUUCAUACCACUGGGUCUCACAGUUCCAACAAUAUUAAUAGGAAAAAACGGCGCUGCUGUUUCUGGAAGAGUUGAGCUUACAUUUGAGGUGGGAGUGUGCCUGGCAUUGACAAACGGGGGUUGUUGCAUGACUACAACUGGUUCUGUCACAGUUCCUGCUGGUAGAUUCUUCAAUUCAUUUUCAACAGGCACAUAAUCAGCUUCUGUCUUGGCGGGUGGAAGUGACACCUGCAAAGAAGAUGACAAAGAACAGGAAACAGAAGGAUUUGAUCCCGCAUCUGGAAACCUUUUGUCAACAGGUACUGACACCUGAGGUGCCUUGCCCCGGUCCAAUUUUGGCUCAGUCCCUUCCAGCAGUGGCAUGUUGUUGCUCACAGGAUCCAUAGAAGGCCUUACUGGGGCAACAACUUUAGUAUAAUUGAGCUCUUUAUCAUCUGCCUUU
rnacentral:misc_RNA from 1 species